GACGAACGCUGGCGGCGUGCUUAACACAUGCAAGUCGAACGGAAAGGCCCUGCUUGCAGGGUGCUCGAGUUGCGAACGGGUGAGUAACACGUGGGUGAUCUGCCCCUUACUUUGGGAUAAGCCUGGGAAGCUGGGUCUAAUACUGGAUAGGACCAUGCUGUAGGUGGUGUGGUGGAAAGAUUAGUUUCGGUAAGGGAUGAGCUCGCGGCCUAUCAGCUUGUUGGUGGGGUAAUGGCCUACCAAGGCGUCGACGGGUAGCCGGCCUGAGAGGGUGGACGGCCACAUUGGGACUGAGAUACGGCCCAGACUCCUACGGGAGGCAGCAGAGGGGAAUAUUGCACAAUGGGCGCAAGCCUGAUGCAGCGACGCCGCGUGGGGGAUGACGGCCUUCGGGUUGUAAACUCCUUUCAGCCAUGACGAAGCCCUUGUGGUGACGGUAGUGGUAGAAGAAGCACCGGCUAACUACGUG
rnacentral:rRNA from 1 species